UUUCCGUCGGUGAACCUGCGGAAGGAUCAUUCAUAAUAAAGUGUUUUAUGGCACUUUUUAAAAAUCCAUAUCCACCUUGUGUGCAAUGUUAGAUCUCGUCAAUCUUGGCGAGAUUUUUAUACAUCAACUCAUUCUUUAACUAAUUUGUCUGAAAAAUAUUAUGAAUACUUAAUUCAAAAUACAACUUUCAACAACGGAUCUCUUGGCUCUC
rnacentral:misc_RNA from 1 species